GGUUACUGCUAUCGGUGUUCGCCUAAGCCAUGCGAGUAUGUUCGUAAGAACAUGGCGUACUGCUCAGUAACACGUGGAUAACCUGCCCUUGGGUCCGGCAUAACCCCGGGAAACUGGGGAUAAUUCCGGAUAACGCACAUAUGCCGGAAUGCUUUUUGCGUAAAAUGGAUUCGUCUGCCCAAGGAUGGGUCUGCGGCCUAUCAGGUAGUAGUGGGUGUAAUGUACCUACUAGCCUACGACGGGUACGGGUUGUGAGAGCAAGAGCCCGGAGAUGGAUUCUGAGACAUGAAUCCAGGCCCUACGGGGCGCAGCAGGCGCGAAAACUUUACAAUGCGGGAAACCGUGAUAAGGGGACACCGAGUGCCAGCAUCCUAUGCUGGCUGUCCGGGUGUGUAAAAUACACCUGUUAGCAAGGGCCGGGCAAGACCGGUGCCAGCCGCCGCGGUAACACCGGCGGCCCGAGUGGUGAUCGUGAUUAUUGGGUCUAAAGGGUCCGUAGCCGGUUUGGUCAGUCCUCCGGGAAAUCUGACAGCUCAACUGUUAGGCUAUCGGAGGAUACUGCCAGACUUGGAACCGGGAGAGGUAAGAGGUACUACAGGGGUAGGAGUGAAAUCUUGUAAUCCCUGUGGGACCACCUGUGGCGAAGGCGUCUUACCAGAACGGGUUCGACGGUGAGGGACGAAAGCUGGGGGCGCGAACCGGAUUAGAUACCCGGGUAGUCCCAGCCGUAAACGGUGCUCGCUAGGUGUCACGCAUGGCGCGACCGUGUCUGGUGCCGCAGGGAAGCCGUGAAGCGAGCCACCUGGGAAGUACGGCCGCAAGGCUGAAACUUAA
rnacentral:rRNA from 1 species